AACGAACGCUGGCGGCAUGCCUAACACAUGCAAGUCGAACGAGACCUUCGGGCCUAGUGGCGCACGGGUGCGUAACGCGUGGGAACCUGCCCUUUGGUUCGGAAUAACUCCCCGAAAGGGGUGCUAAUACCGGAUAAUGUCUUCGGACCAAAGAUUUAUCGCCUUUGGAUGGGCCCGCGUUGGAUUAGCUAGUUGGUAGGGUAAAAGCCUACCAAGGCGACGAUCCAUAGCUGGUCUGAGAGGAUGAUCAGCCACACUGGGACUGAGACACGGCCCAGACUCCUACGGGAGGCAGCAGUGGGGAAUAUUGGACAAUGGGCGAAAGCCUGAUCCAGCAAUGCCGCGUGAGUGAUGAAGGCCUUAGGGUUGUAAAGCUCUUUUACCCGGGAUGAUAAUGACAGUACCGGGAGAAUAAGCUCCGGCUAACUCCGUG
rnacentral:rRNA from 1 species